CCGCCCGUCACACCAUGAAAGUCGGCUGUACCAGAAGUCGCUGUGCUAACCGCAAGGAGGCAGGCGCCCAAGGUAUGGUCGAUGAUUGGGUG
rnacentral:rRNA from 1 species